AUAUGUACGCUCUUGUCAUGAAUAGAUCAAAAUGAGUCUUGAGGUCAUUACAGGGAGAGCCAGCCGUUGAGGUUACAAAUGAAGGUGUUGAUGCUGCAGGGCAUACAAUUGGUACAUUUUUGGAGGUCGUGUUCAAACUUAGGAAGGUACCACACCUUUGCUAUGACCAUGUCAGUCUUGAGGUCCUUAUAGG